AUUGAACGCUGGCGGCAUGCCUAACACAUGCAAGUCGAGCGAGCGGCGGACGGGUGAGUAAUGUCUGGGAAACUGCCUGAUGGAGGGGGAUAACUACUGGAAACCGUAGCUAAUACCGCAUACUAUCAGCUGUUCCCAGAUGGGAUUAGCUGGUUGGUGGGGUAACGGCUCACCUAGGCGACGAUCCCUAGCUGGUCUGAGAGGAUGACCAGCCACACUGGGACUGAGACACGGCCCAGACUCCUACGGGAGGCAGCAGUGGGGAAUAUUGCACAAUGGGCGCAAGCCUGAUGCAGCCAGGCCGCGUGUGUGAAGAAGGCCUUCGGGUUGUAAAGCACUGUUAGCGGGGAGGCGGUAUCCGCAGAGGAAGCACCGGCUAACUCCGUGCCAGCAGCCGCGGUAAUUC
rnacentral:rRNA from 1 species